UCGCGUCAACGCGGGGGAGUUUUAAUCACAAUUUCACGCGCGCCUUUCCAUUUUGAGGGUUUGAAAACAAAUCAAUUCGUGUUUAAUAGGCGGCCAUACUCGUUUUCUGAGUUUAUGCUUAGCAUUAUCUAUGGUAAAUUUCCCAAAGGCGCCGGAUGCAGUUUGCAUUAUUAGGAUUUAGAGAAAAUAAAGUCGUAGUAUCAGAAAUUAAUGAAAAAAAAUACUUGAAGUGUGUGUUAGAAUGACGUAAGCGAGGGUAAAUAAUGGAAAUUCUACGAACAUGAGAAACCGCUGAAAGGUACUGCCUGUACAAGAUCUGGCACCAGGUAUCAUAAGAAACAGGAACGUCAGCAUUGGGCAAACGAGAAGGACACGUUAAACUAACAAAAUGUUUAUUUGUUCUCGCAUUUUUUUUAAAUUAUGCACCAAAAAAUCUGUUAUAUAACGCUUAACUUUUUUUUAUUAACCCCGUUAUAUAUUUUUCAUCAAAAUGACGGUUGUUGACUUAUUACAUUUGUAAUAUUUUUUAGGGUCAAUAAGCGCUUUAUUCAGAGAAGUUCCAAGGGAUCUUGCAAAAGUUUAUGUGCUCCUUAAUUACAUUUAAUGUAUUUUGAAUUUUAUCAAAGCACUUGAACGAUAGAUUCGAUGUAACAACAGAUAAAGAUCGCGAUACACAGAUUUUCACACUUGAAUCCACAAAAUCGAAUAAGUAGAUUGGCGUUUGUGUUGCGAUAAAAUAAAAAUUAAAAACAUAUUUUCGUUAUCGAUUCACAGGCCGUUUAAUUAUUUAUUCUUCUGAUUUUUCCUCUCGUGCCUUAUUUAAUAUGGUUACAAUAGCUACGGUAAUGUUUCGUCCUCGCUCUCGGGAACACGAUUUUCUCUCGCCUUCCGUGGUGUUUAAACGUCACUCACGCCCCUCUUGCUAAAUUUUCCGUCACACUAAAGAAUAAUUUUAUCAAGAACAUCUGUGGCUUAACCAGACUAGCCCUAACCUCAAUUUGCUCUCGAAGUGAUGGGGAUGUUUUCAAAUUUUAAGCAAUUAUCGUGGUAAGCACGAUGAAAAAUCAAUUUUUCAGUUUUAUAUUGAUGGAAAAGAUUAUGCGGCGCCAUCUAGUUGAUAACAUUGAACGGUUCUUUGAGCCACUGUGUCCAUAAAAUUGGCAGAAUGUUACUUAUUCCUCGGUCCAACUCGAAUAUGCUCAAGUUCAGCCCGCAAUCGAAAAAUAUUUGUUUUGCCGCGCCCGAUAACGAUGUUUUUCGCGAGAUAAUGCGCCCGAGGGCCGAGAUAACUGCGCCGAAAUGAAAACAAGCUGUAAAAACGCCAUUUAUUUACAUCUUCCACGGCACGACGCGGAAAACGAGACGACAGAAAGAUAGCGCGAUCACAGACCGGAGAACUCGGCCGGCCU